UACGUAGGGGGCUAGCGUUGUCCGGAAUCAUUGGGCGUAAAGAGCGCGUAGGCGGCUGGAUUAGUCCGGUGUGAAAUCCACAGGCUUAACCUGUGAAUGCCGCUGGAAACUGUCUGGCUAGAGUCCGGAAGGGGCGAGUGGAAUUCCUGGUGUAGCGGUGAAAUGCGCAGAUAUCAGGAGGAACACCAAUGGCGAAGGCAGCUCGCUGGGACGGUACUGACGCUGAGGCGCGAAAGCGUGGGGAGCGAACAGG
rnacentral:rRNA from 2 species